UACGAAGGGGGGCUAGCGUUGCUCGGAAUCACUGGGCGUAAAGCGCACGUAGGCGGAUCUUUAAGUCAGGGGUGAAAUCCCAAGGCUCAACCUUGGAACUGCCUUUGAUACUGGGGAUCUCGAGUCCGGAAGAGGUUGGUGGAACUGCGAGUGUAGAGGUGAAAUUCGUAGAUAUUCGCAAGAACACCAGUGGCGAAGGCGGCCAACUGGUCCGGUACUGACGCUGAGGUGCGAAAGCGUGGGGAGCAAACAGG
rnacentral:rRNA from 1 species